rnacentral:ncRNA from 2 species
AAUGUUCUUCAGGGCAGGGUGACUUUUUUUAAAAGAAUUCCCGACCGACGGUGAUACCCCAUAGAGGGAAAGUCCGUGAGCCGUAAGGCAUGAUUUGGUGAGAAUCCAAAACCGACAGUACAGUCUGGAUGGGAGAAGAAAACA